rnacentral:rRNA from 1 species
CAGCAGCCGCGGUAAUACGUAGGUGGCAAGCGUCGUCCGGAGUUAUUGGGCGUAAAGGGCUCGCAUGCGGUUUCUUAAGUCUGAUGUGAAAGCCCCCGGCUCAACCGGGGAGGGUCAUUGGAAACUGGGAAACUUGAGUGCAGAAGAGGAGAGUGGAAUUCCACGUGUAGCGGUGAAAUGCGUAGAGAUGUGGAGGAACACCAGUGGCGAAGGCGACUCUCUGGUCUGUAACUGACGCUGAGGAGCGAAAGCGUGGGGAGCGAACAGGAUUAGAUACCCCUGUAGUCCCUGUCUCUUAUAC